rfam:Myotis lucifugus cont2.46274, whole genome shotgun sequence.
GGCGGUUCUCGGGUGAUGUACUUUGGAAUCGGACUCCCUCCUCUCUGGUUCCAGGGUGUGACACCCAAGAACCGCA